UACGAAGGGUGCAAGCGUUAAUCGGAAUUACUGAGCGUAAAGGGUGCGUAGGCGGUUGUUUAAGUCUGUCGUGAAAUCCCCGGGCUCAACCUGGGAAUGGCGAUGGAUACUGGGCAGCUAGAGUGUGUCAGAGGAUGGUGGAAUUCCCGGUGUAGCGGUGAAAUGCGUAGAGAUCGGGAGGAACAUCAGUGGCGAAGGCGGCCAUCUGGGACAACACUGACGCUGAAGCACGAAAGCGUGGGGAGCAAACAGG
rnacentral:rRNA from 1 species